UAAUUUGUCUAUUAAUUGUAGACUAGAAUAAACGAAUAUAUGAGAUUUAGCCUGUUUCAUGCAAAACAAUAAAAACUUAUCUAAAGGUGAGGAAGCCUUUAUAUACUUGCCAGACAAGAAGACCCCACAGAGCUUAAAUUUAAUAAAUACUACAAAUAUUAUAAAAAUUUGAUUGGGAUGAUCUAGAUAUUAAUAACAAUCUAUAUUACUAAGAUAAAUAAAUCAACACAUAAAUGACCCUUUAUUCAAGAACAUAAAUCUACAGCUACCUUGGGGAUAACAGACUAAUUCUUU
rnacentral:rRNA from 1 species